CCGUGUGUCAAAUUUCAAACCCUGAGUAUAAAUUAAGCCAUUAAUGGUAUUUAUCAGUUUAUCUGGACUUAAGGAACUACUUACUAAUUUAAGACAUUCCUAAUAUAGAACCCAAGCGUCUUCGCUGUAGCAAAACAUGAAAACUGAAGUGUGACAACAAAGCCUGAGCCCAGUCCAACCAACAGUGUGUCCCUCCGGAGCACCAGCUGGAGCCCACCGAGGCCCUGGAGGGAGGAGGCAAGGAGGGGGUCACACUCCCAGGAUGGAAGUCCAGGGCCGCCUUCCUUACAACACAGAUGGCAUGGCAACUCGAUUUCAUGUUGAUUAUUAAAGGCGUGGGAGGAUCCAUCUGGGUUCUGCAGGAAGCAGUGCUGUCGAUGGUAAGCUCUGCCACGUGUCAGAAGAGCCAUCUCGUCGCCAGCCCUAUGCUGCGGUUAAGGCUGCUACCGCGUCUCUCCCCAGCCGAGCGCUGUUUGCCCCACGCGAACAAGUGGGCAAACACGCCUCACGGCUGAGGGCGUUGGUCCAGGGAGAGCUCACAGCCAGGUGGGGAGGGAGCCCUUCUCAAAGUGCCCACCUUGGUCUCUUAUCCAUCAUUUGGAUUCAAUUUGGAGAUAAAGCAAACAUCUGAGUGGGCUGGUCCCCACCUGCUAGAGGAAGGGUGGGCAUUAUACCCCUUUGCAGGGGGGGACAUUUGAAGGGCAGAAAGCAUGAGAAACAAGGCUGCUAACAGUGAAGUUCAACUCCCCUCCUCAGCUUCUGACUCAAACUCCAGGUUCUUCCCAAAGACACUUGAAACCAGUAUCCUUUUCUGGAAAGUGUUCAGCACUUUCAAGUCCUCACUGACUUAAUAAACCCCAGAAGGCAUCGGUCCUAAGAUGCCUCUGACUGUCAAAGCUGAAUCAAUGCCAAACUCUUAAAACACAGCUUGGAAUGUAUUCAAUAUCACUGAAUUGUACACUUGAAAAUAGUUAAAAUGGCAAAUUUUGUUAUGUAUCUUUCAAAUAUAAAAAUUAAUAUUUUUAAAAUAGUUUUAAAAAUUAAUAAGCUAAUAUACCAAA